UGUUUUUGCACUGCGUUUUUGGAUAGCCUGCAAAACUGUUGUUGAUCCCUACCCUGGCCAAACCCAGACGACGCUGGGCCAAUUGUGCGCCGCCCUGUGGGACUCCCAAUCACGUCCAGUUGUGGUACAGCCUGGAAUAAAACCAGGGUCUGUAGUGACGCCUCCAGCACUGAGAUGCAGUGCCUUAGACCCCUGCGCCACUCAGGAGCGAAUGUUAUGAUUAAUAGGAGGGUAUAAAUACUUGUGCUGGUGGAAACAUGACUUUGUCUUUGCAGC
rnacentral:lncRNA from 1 species